rnacentral:rRNA from 1 species
UACUAGAGUAGCACUCGCAUAUCAAUAAGCGGAGGAAAAGAAACUAACAAGGAUUCCCCUAGUAACGGCGAGUGAAGCGGGAAGAGCUCAAAUUUGAAAUCUUAAAGGGUUUCCCUUUACGAAUUGUAGUUUAAAGAAGUGUUUUUCUGUUGAGGUUUUGGUAAAAGUUCUUUGGAAUAGGACAUCAUAGAGGGUGAGAAUCCCGUAUUUGACCUUUACUUUCAACUUUGUGAUACACUUUCAAAGAGUCGGAUUGUUUGGGAAUGCAGUCCAAAAUGGGUGGUAAAUUUCAUCUAAAGGCUAAAUAUUGGCGAGAGACCGAUAGCGAACAAGUACCGUGAGGGAAAGAUGAAAAGAACUUUGAAAAGAGAGUUAAACAGUACGUGAAAUUGUCAAAAGGGAAGCGUUUGACACCAGUGUUGUUUUUCUGAAAAUCAAUUAAAGAACUGUUUAUGCUAAGCUUGUUUAGACUUUAUCAGCUAAUCUGUUUAGUUUUGAGCUUUUCUUUAAUGCACUUUUCAGUUAACAAGGUCAACAUCAAUUUCUUUUGCUGUAAAAAAGCUUGAGGAAGGUGGCUUGAGAUCCGUCUUAAGUGUUUAUAGCCUCUUGCCUAUGCAGUCGGAGAGAUUGAGGUCUGCAGCGUAGAUCCUUCGGGGCUAAAUGCAUUUGUGCUAAGUUAUAGCAUUUUAUAGACAACUUGUUGACUAUGAUUUGUCUUGUAGCUUACUCGCUUAUGUUAUUUUACCUACGCUUAGGAUGUUGAGCGCAUGUCUCUCUCU